CCUACGGGGGACUGCAGUGGGGAAUAUUGCACAAUGGGGGAAACCCUGAUGCAGCGACGCCGCGUGAAGGAAGAAGUAUUUCGGUAUGUAAACUUCUAUUAGCAGGGAAGAAAAUGACGGUACCUGACUAAGAAGCCCCGGCUAACUACGUGCCAGCAGCCGCGGUAAUACGUAGGGGGCAAGCGUUAUCCGGAUUUACUGGGUGUAAAGGGAGCGUAGGCGGCGGUGCAAGUCAGAAGUGAAAGCCCGGGGCUCAACUCCGGGACUGCUUUUGAAACUGUGUUGCUAGAUUGCAGGAGAGGAAAGGGGAAUUCGUGGUGUAGCGGUGAAAUGCGUAGAUAUAAGGAGGAACACCAGGGGCGAAGGCGGCUUACUGGACUGUAAAUGACGCUGAGGCUCGAAAGCGUGGGGAGCAAACAGGAUUAGAUCCCCGAGUAGUC
rnacentral:rRNA from 1 species